AACCUCCGCAAUGUGAGAAAUCGCGACGGGGGGAUCCCAAGUGCCAUUCUUAACGGGAUGGCUUUUCAUUAGUGUAAAGAGCUUUUGGAAUAAGAGCUGGGCAAGACCGGUGCCAGCCGCCGCGGUAACACCGGCAGCUCUAGUGGUAGCAAUUUUUAUUGGGCCUAAAGCGUCCGUAGCCGGUUUAAUAAGUCUCUGGUGAAAUCCUGCAGCUUAACUGUGGGAAUUGCUGGAGAUACUAUUAGACUUGAGACCGGGAGAGGUUAGAGGUACUCCCAGGGUAGAGGUGAAAUUCUGUAAUCCUGGGAGGACCGCCUGUUGCGAAGGCGUCUAACUGGAACGGUUCUGACGGUGAGGGACGAAAGUUAGGGGCGCGAACCGGAUUAGAUACCCGGGUAGUCCUAACUGUAAACGAUGCGGACUUGGUGUUGGGGUGGCUUUGAGCUGCUUCAGUGCCGAAGGGAAGCUGUUAAGUCCGCCGCCUGGGAAGUACGGUCGCAAGACUGAAACUUAAGGAAUU
rnacentral:rRNA from 1 species